CAAACCCAGAAGCAAAACAGAAGUUUGUUUUGAAGUCCAGGGUGCAAGAUGACCAGCUGAGUUCAGACGUGAUGGAGGAUGGAGGGUGUGGGAGACUCUUAUUAAGGCCCCUUUGCUCUGUCGGAUGCAGACGAGGACAGUAAACUGGAAGUCAAAUGCUGCAGAUGGUGGGGCCACAGGAUGGAAGGGGCUGGGUCCCUGGCUCAGAAGAGAGCCUCCUGCUGAUCAGGAACAUGUGUGUCAUGAAUAUAACAUGGCUUACUCUACAGCUGGUGGCUGCUGCUAAAAAUCUACAGCUUGCUUUUUUUUUCCUGAGCAAAAUGAAAGGAACAAGAAGCACCUUUACUCCUUAUAAGGAGAAGGGAAA